AUGCUAAGCUCUAUACUGUUCGCAGCUGUUGGUGUGUUGGGCGCAGGUUACUCAGUUGUAGUCUCAGCCGUGGCUAUCAACAGAGGACCAAUGUGUUUAAACAGCACUUACCCCGACGCAGCAGGAACUUACCCAUUUGAGAAUGGGAAUUACCUGUCAAAUAAAACAAUUUGGACAAAAUGUGAAAAGCCAGAUAAUUUGGUAACCUGGCACCUGUCCCUGUUCUCUGUGAUCCUGGCGAUGGGAUUAAUCCAGAUCGUUCUAUGUGCGGUCCAGGUGAUAAAUGGCCUGCUGGGAGCUCUGUGUGGAGACUGUGGCUGCUGUGGAGGGAGUGAUGGAGCUGUAUAAGCAUAUCCUGGGGAUAAGGCCAGAUGGUUGUCCCAGAUCUAAUCUCCUUGCUGAUCAUUACUUGUAUGCACUAAUUGAACCACUGCAAAAAUAGGUUUUUUAACAGGAGCUCAUUGAUUACAGUGUAUGAUCUUAAAACACUGCAGAAAUGACAGAGCUCUUUAUAGGUUUUUGUUGUGUUUACUUGCAACUAUUAUGACUGACUUAUCAAUACCAUUAUGAUUUUAAAGGUUAAUGGACUAUGAUAUUUACAGACUUUCGGCUAUAUGUAUUUAUUAUUUCAUUGCUGUUGUUUAUUUUGUUUUUUUUUUUGUUCUUCAGUUUGCGAUUUCACAAAUAUUACAUCUUUAUCAAGCCACGUCACUGCCCCCUUGUGGGAUUUGAACGCUACAUCUUCACCCAAAAU